CGACUAAGCGUACACGGUGGAUGCCCUGGCAGUCAGAGGCGAUGAAGGGCGUGCUAAUCUGCGAUAAGCGCCGGUAAGGUGAUAUGAACCGUUAUAACCGGCGAUACCCGAAUGGGGAAACCCAGUGUGACUCGUCACACUAUCAUUAACUGAAUCCAUAGGUUAAUGAGGCGAACCGGGGGAACUGAAACAUCUAAGUACCCCGAGGAAAAGAAAUCAACCGAGAUUCCCCCAGUAGCGGCGAGCGAACGGGGAGGAGCCCAGAGCCUGAAUCAGCAUGUGUGUUAGUGGAAGCGUCUGGAAAGGCGCGCGAUACAGGGUGACAGCCCCGUACACAAAAGCGCAUGUGCUGUGAGCUCGAUGAGUAGGGCGGGACACGUGGUAUCCUGUCUGAAUAUGGGGGGACCAUCCUCCAAGGCUAAAUACUCCUGACUGACCGAUAGUGAACCAGUACCGUGAGGGAAAGGCGAAAAGAACCCCGGCGAGGGGAGUGAAAAAGAACCUGAAACCGUGUACGU
rnacentral:rRNA from 1 species